GACGAACGCUGGCGGCGUGCUUAACACAUGCAAGUCGUACGGUAAGGCCCUUUCGGGGGUACCCGCGUGGCGAACGGGUGAGUAUCACGUGAGUAACCUGCCCACAACUUUGGGAUAACGCUAGGAAACUGGUGCUAAUACUGGAUAUGUGCUCCUGCUGCAUGGUGGGGGUUGGAAAGCUCCGGCGGUUGUGGAUGGACUCGCGGCCUAUCAGCUUGUUGGUGGGGUAGUGGCCUACCAAGGCGGCGACGGGUAGCCGGCCUGAGAGGAUGACCGGCCACACUGGGACUGAGACACGGCACAGACUCCUACGGGAGGCAGCAGUGGGGAAUUUUGGAGACUGGGCGAAAGCCUGAUCCAGCAAUGCCGCGUGUGUGCUGAAGGCCUUCGGGUCGUAAAUCACUGUCGGCGUGAACGAAAAGGACUGUGCCAAUACCACGGUUCGAUGACGGUACCCGCAGAAUAAGCACCGGCUAACUACGUG
rnacentral:rRNA from 1 species